rnacentral:rRNA from 1 species
AUUGAACGCUGGCGGCAUGCCUUACACAUGCAAGUCGAACGGCAGCACGGGAGCAAUCCUGGUGGCGAGUGGCGAACGGGUGAGUAAUAUAUCGGAACGUGCCCGGUCGUGGGGGAUAACGUAGCGAAAGCUACGCUAAUACCGCAUACGAUCUAUGGAUGAAAGCGGGGGAUCGCAAGACCUCGCGCGGUUGGAGCGGCCGAUAUCAGAUUAGGUAGUUGGUGAGGUAAAGGCUCACCAAGCCGACGAUCUGUAGCUGGUCUGAGAGGACGACCAGCCACACUGGGACUGAGACACGGCCCAGACUCCUACGGGAGGCAGCAGUGGGGAAUUUUGGACAAUGGGCGCAAGCCUGAUCCAGCAAUGCCGCGUGCAGGAUGAAGGCCUUCGGGUUGUAAACUGCUUUUGUACGGAACGAAACGGUGAGCUCUAAUACAGUUUGCUAAUGACGGUACCGUAAGAAUAAGCACCGGCUAACUACGUG